rnacentral:rRNA from 1 species
UACGUAGGUGGCAAGCGUUGUCCGGAAUUAUUGGGCGUAAAGGGCGCGUAGGCGGCUACACAAGUGGCGGGUGAAAUCCCUCGGCUUAACCGAGGAACUGCCUGCCAGACUGUGUGGCUUGAGACCGGGAGAGGUGAGCGGAAUUCCCAGUGUAGCGGUGAAAUGCGUAGAUAUGUGGAGGAAUACCGGUGGCGAAGGCAGCCCCCUGGGAUAACACUGACGCUCAUGCACGAAAGCGUGGGGAGCAAACAGG